CUGAUAAGUACGAGUAGGGGUAGGCUGCAGACCUGGAGCAAUAUAGAUAUACUUAAACGGUCCAGGCAACUUUACGCCACUGUUGCUGUUGUUCCUGGUGCGCCCAGUAGGGUGUGCAGUGAGUUCACAUCAUCAGAUCAGAGCCAGUUUUGGAUCGACACGAUAUAAGAUAAACAGUGUAAUGAUCCGCAUAUAUUAAAAUAUAUGUAGAGAUUCACUGUUGAGUCAUACACAGCCUACAAGAAGACAAUUGAACUUUAAUGGAAUUUAGUGUUUUAGUGAAAUUAACAAUUAAUAACGCACAUGAAUCAACCUUAUAAGUUAUUGUGAUUAGACUGUACAUGGUUCCUGAUGAAUUGCUAAUUUCUACUCUUUUCUUUUCCCCCUUACUCCUGUUUUACAUAUUUUGUUGCUCUCUAGACACAUUUUGGUAAGUCAAUUUUAUUUUGCAAUCUGUUGUUUUGUAACACACCUUAUUAGUGUGUUGCAUUUGUUUAAUGUUCUACUGCACAUUUAACUGUGGUGAUGUUUAUUUCUCUUCUGAAACAGGUUACUGCUUCAGCUAUCAGCCACAGUCCAGAUUGUGUUGCAGCCCAACAAAACCAGCACUUCCACAAGUCUUUUUAACGAACCCAAAGGCUCUUAUAAGAGCCACCCACACUAUAUCACAGCGGAUUGGACAUCUUUUUCAUCUUUAAAAGCUAUAAACGCUAAAACGCUUGAAACAAAAAGAAAACUUUUUGAAAGACUCACAAAAAGCUCUUUCUAAGAGCCUGAAAAAAAACGCUUUACAAAAAAACAACGCUUGCUUUGAGCAAAACGUGAACUCAUACCCCAAGAAAACGUCAACUUGUAUCACUGAAACCAAGCAAACAAGUUAAAAAACUGAACGUCAGCUACAGGAACAGUGAAAGAGCUUCAGAGAAUCCCCUCUUCAAGUUCACACUGCUGCCUUCAAGAAGGAUCCCUGCUUUAAGGACAACAUUAACAAAAGAAUAUUAGAGAAUAUCAUUUAUUUUAACCUACUGUUUAGCAUUACAUUUGUUCAAAUUCUGCAGUCUUGUUUAUUAUAUUACCUGAAUUGAUUCCAUAAUUGACACAUUAGUUACGUGUGGUUAGUUUCUGAUCACCUAUUUCACU